GUUCUAGGUGGUUGAGAUUCAGACCCUGACAGUUGUAACUGAUGGACUAGGCUGGGCACUGCUGAUGAACAUCACAUUCCUGACAGAAAAAUCAUCCAAAAGUAUUCUUCAGCUUUCUAGAAGUCAUUAUGAGGGGCCCUGACUAACUGAGGAGACUCAUACAGAAACCCUUGUCCCCAUCACAGAUACCUGGUUACCAUUUUCCUUCAAGAUGGCCAUCCUUGGGAGGAUUACCCUUGGGCCUCAGAGGAGAAAGAAAACCAAAAGGCAUAAACAAUAAAUUGAAAAUUGAAGGUGAAAGUCAAGUCUAAAGAUUUAGAAAAUCUCAGAUGACGUUCUCCUGGAAUCACCUAGCCUGAGGGGUGCGUCCUUAUGAGGUCAAGGCUUUCAGAGUUAGCACUUCAGUGGUGAAUACAGAAGACAAAAUUAGUACAGAUCAAGUAACCUGGAAAAGAAAAAAGAGACAGCACUAGAUACAGAAGUAGACAAGAGGAGGAGAAAACUCAGGCCUUGGCAAAAGCCACAUUACCGAACGGGGUCGCAGAGAGUGUCAGCUGGGGCCAGAUGAGAACAGCAGUCUGACUCAACAGACAUUUAUUGCACUCCUGCUGUAUGCCAAGAAAUGCACUGAAAUCUGGAAGUGUGUAACACAGGAGAAGAAAAGGCUUAUCGCCAAGGAGCCCUCACCUGGAAAGAGAGAUGGAAUCUCAGCCUAAGGUGGUGAAAUGUUGACAUGCUACCAGGAGGACAAAACAGCAGAGGACUAAUUUUUACUUCCUGUUGGCUCAAGCAGGAAACCCAAGUCAGACUGAUUCCUCCAUGUUUGACUUAUAACUUCGAGAGUGUCUAGCCAGGUAUUCUGAGUGCCAUCAAGCAAGUAACAGCUGGAGAACGUGCAGCGAAAGAAACCACACAACAAGGAGCCAAAUCACAUUUUUCACAUAUUACCGAACAACUUUAGGAUAAAUUGACACUUAACACAUUGCAGUCCGAUGUUUGCCACCGUGUCUGAUACACGGUACUGUGUGUAUAUCAUGCAGUUAUGUUCUUCACAUGACUGUUCACAUAAACUUAUUACAUUUUGGAACAGAUACAGCUAAAAUAAAUCUCUUUUGAAUUUUCAGCAGAAAAAUGCUAUUGGUUAAUACCAAUUAAUAUACGAUUAGACUAUGUGUAGUUGUUUUGGGCAUAUGACACUAAGGGUUCUGCACCUAGUUCCAACGUGUGAAUUUUUCCCCUCACACCAAGCAAUGCUCCAACACCCACUAGGCAUCCUACAAUUCAACUCAAUAGGUUUCUCAUGCUGUCUCUACAGAGAUAGUCCCACAAGACUGCCCUCCACUUCGCAUAGCUUUUGGCAAGUCUAGGCUUGCUACUUUUGCUUCUGACAGACUCAGAGGUUCCCAUGACACCCUCAUUUUUUCAUUCUAUUUUAUUUUAAUAUUUAUUUUUGAGAGAGAGAGAGAGAGUGCACAAGUGAGGGAGAGGCAGAGAGAGAGGGAGACAGAAUCUGAAGCAGGCUCUGGGCUCUCAGCUGUCAGCACAGAGCCUGAUGCAGGGCUUGAUCUCACGAACCGGAAGAUCCUGACCUGAGCCGAAGUGGGAUGCUUCACCGACUGAGCCACCCAGGUGGCCCCCCUCCUUGGUUUUGAUUAAUUUGCUGGAGCUGCUCAUAGAAGUCAGAAACAUUUUACUUACUAGGUUACCACUUUAUCAAGAAAGGUACAACUCAGGAGCAGCCAGAUGGAAAGACCUACAGGACGAGGUUUGGAAAAAAGGCUUAGAGCUUCCGUGUCCUUCCAGAGCAAGUCACCCACCCCAAACUGCCAUGGGUUCACACACCCGGGAGCUCUUCGAACCCAGUCCUUUUGGAUUUUUAUGGA